AGCCAUGCCCCUUGGCAAAACACAAAGCAAUGCCUCAUUCGUGUUGGUAGUCCCGUUUUUUUCGGGGUCGAAUACUCGGAGGUGAAAUAAGCAAAA
rnacentral:sRNA from 12 species